CCCCGGUAAACGGCGGCCGUAACUAUAACGGUCCUAAGGUAGCGAAAUUCCUUGUCGGGUAAGUUCCGACCUGCACGAAUGGCGUAAUGAUGGCCAGGCUGUCUCCACCCGAGACUCAGUGAAAUUGAACUCGCUGUGAAGAUGCAGUGUACCCGCGGCAAGACGGAAAGACCCCGUGAACCUUUACUAUAGCUUGACACUGAACAUUGAGCCUUGAUGUGUAGGAUAGGUGGGAGGCUUUGAAGUGUGGACGCCAGUCUGCAUGGAGCCGACCUUGAAAUACCACCCUUUAAUGUUUGAUGUUCUAACGUGGACCCGUAAUCCGGGUUGCGGACAGUGUCUGGUGGGUAGUUUGACUGGGGCGGUCUCCUCCUAAAGAGUAACGGAGGAGCACGAAGGUUGGCUAAUCCUGGUCGGACAUCAGGAGGUUAGUGCAAUGGCAUAAGCCAGCUUGACUGCGAGCGUGACGGCGCGAGCAGGUGCGAAAGCAGGUCAUAGUGAUCCGGUGGUUCUGAAUGGAAGGGCCAUCGCUCAACGGAUAAAAGGUACUCCGGGGAUAACAGGCUGAUACCGCCCAAGAGUUCAUAUCGACGGCGGUGUUUGGCACCUCGAUGUCGGCUCAUCACAUCCUGGGGCUGAAGUAGGUCCCAAGGGUAUGGCUGUUCGCCAUUUAAAGUGGUACGCGAGCUGGGUUUAGAACGUCGUGAGACAGUUCGGUCCC
rnacentral:rRNA from 2 species